GAUGAAGAACGUAGCGAAAUGCGAUACGUGAUGUGAAUUGCAGAAUUCAGUGAAUCAUCGAAUCUUUGAACGCAUAUUGCGCUCUCUGGUAUUCCGGAGAGCAUGCUUGUUUGAGUAUCAGUAAACACCUCAACUCCCUUUUCUUUUUUGAAAUGGGAGCUGGACUUGAGUGAUCCCAACACUUUUCUCACUGGAAAGUGGCGGGUCACUUGAAAUGCAGGUGCAGCUUGACUUUUCUCUGAGCUAUAAGCAUAUCUAUUUAGUCUGCCUAAAAAACAGAUUAUUACCUUUGCUGCAGCUAACAUAAAGGAGAUGAGUUCUUGUGCUGACUGAUGCAGGAUUCACAGAGACAGCUUUGCGGCUGACUUUGUAAACUCGAUCUCAAAUCAAGUAAGACUACCCGCUGAACUUAAGCAUAUCAAUAAGCGGAGGA
rnacentral:misc_RNA from 1 species